UACGUAGGGUGCAAGCGUUGUCCGGAAUUAUUGGGCGUAAAGAGCUCGUAGGCGGUUUGUCGCGUCUGCUGUGAAAACCUAGGGCUUAACCCUGGGCCUGCAGUGGGUACGGGCAGACUAGAGUGCGGUAGGGGAGACUGGAAUUCCUGGUGUAGCGGUGGAAUGCGCAGAUAUCAGGAGGAACACCGAUGGCGAAGGCAGAUCUCUGGGCCGUAACUGACGCUGAGGAGCGAAAGCAUGGGGAGCGAACAGG
rnacentral:rRNA from 1 species